AUACCUUUCUCGGCCUUUUGGCUAAGAUCAAGUGUAGUAUCUGUUCUUAUCAGUUUAAUAUCUGAUAUGUGGGCCAUUGGUCCACACGAUAUUAACUCAAUUUUUUAAGGGGAGUGUCCAUCAAGGUAGCUUGCUACCUGGGCUCUCAAGCGUCGCCCAUGCGUUGCACUAUUGCACGGGCCUGGCGCACCCCAC